rnacentral:piRNA from 1 species
AGCCAGAGUUGUCUCCAAGGUGCAGA